CCAUUUUUGAUGACGUUUAUUGUAUCGAUUUGAAAGUCCGUGUAGCAAGCUGUGUAGCGAUAUGUGCUAAUAAAAAGGCACGUAUUCGCGCAUUACAACGAUUUAUUUGUCUACUAGUUAUAUUUUAUAAGGUCUAUUUACCCUGCCACUGCCAGGAGUAUCUUUAGGGGACACACACUUUUCACGCCACUUCGAUACAAAGUUAUUUUCGUAGCAGGUUAGGAGAGCCUUUUCGCUAACCCGAACCCUUUUCCUAACCUUAAGCACAGUGUCCGAACCUGCUACGUUAAUUCUCCUAACAUACUAAGUAAAUUAUUCUAAUUUACUGCGUACGUUCUCCUAACCUGCUCCGAAAAAGUUACUUAAACUCUGAGAACGAUGUCGCUUUAUGACGACAUGGGUGUCGGGAGUGCGACCAGUGACACCAAGACCGAGGGCUGGUCCAAGAAUUUUAAGCUACUGCAAUCACAGCUGAAAGUAAAGAAGGCAGCUCUGACUCAGGCUAAGAGUCAGCGGAUGAAGCAGGGUACUGUCCUGGCACCAGUUAUUGACUUAAAGAGAGGAGGUUCCGCUGAUGACAGACAGAUAAUAGACACACCCCCACACAUUGCAGCAGGACUCAAGGACACAGCACCCAGCGGGUUCCCCUCUGGGGACGCGCUAAUCCCCCUGGCUGAUGAGUAUGACCCCAUGUUCCCCAACGACUACGAGAAGGUGGUGAAGAGACACCGUGAGGAGAGGCAGCGGCAGAGAGAGCAGGAACGACUGAAGGAGAUAGAGGACAGAGAGAAGAAGAGGAAGGACAGACACGAGGGCAGCAGCGCUCCGAGUGGAUUCUCCCGCUUCCCCACGGCAGAGGGAGAGUCUGAUGAGGAGGAGGAGGACUAUGAGAAGGAGAAGAGGAAAAGGAGUAUGGGUGGAGCAGCCAUCGCCCCACCCUCCUCACUCGUGGAUAGUAGAGACAGCUCAUCAUACUCCUAUGAGGAUGAGAUGCGACCCUCCCGUGGUUCUAAAGCAGCCAUCCCUCCCCCCAUGUACGAGGACUCCGAACGCCCCCGCUCACCACCUGGCGGUCCCACCAACUCAUUCCUGGCCAACAUGGGAGGGACCGUGGCCCAUAAGAUCAUGCAGAAGUAUGGCUUCCGGGAGGGCCAGGGGCUGGGCAAACACGAGCAGGGUCUCAGCACGGCCCUGUCUGUAGAGAAGACCAGCAAGAGGGGUGGCAAGAUCAUCAUAGGAGACGCCACUGAGAAGAGUAACGCCAUGCUUCACAUCUCACUUUCUGCCGUCUCACUGCCCUGUCUCGCUCGCUCUCACUCAUUCCUGUCUCAGCUCUCCUGUCUUUCUCUCAGAUUUCACUUCUCUUUCUUAUUAUAUAUGCACACAGUCUACUCUCUCCCUCUCUCCUUUUUACACCCCCCCCCCUUUUCUCUAACACCAAUAUUCAUGAUCUCUUUCUACUAGAUAAGAUAGAUACAAGCUUGUUUUCAUUGUCUCCUCUUGUUACAUUAGCCUGUCCAGAUGUUUUAAAUUUUUUAUCAUGUAUUACAUAGGCCCAGAAUUAAUGGUCUUGGUUUCUAGUUCCAAGACUGUCUAUUGUAACAUUAUUUGUAGCUGUGUGAUCAUCCUCAGUCAAGAUUCAGUUUUUAAUUGGUAUUUUUCAUUCAUUGAUGAUUUUAAUCUUCAACAUUUGUGAUCUUAGUUGUGUGUAUUGGUGUUCUUUUGUUUUUCGUUUUGUGUGUUUGUGUCCCUCUCUAAAGCACCAGGAUCCAGUAGCCAGACGGCAGCAGCUGAGCCUUUAGGCUGGGGCUCGGCUUCAAUAGGUUUGGCACUGUCACAUCACUUCCUCCCUACCAUGACGGUUUCACCCCGUGUGUCUUGUUGUCCCAUGUCUCUGCUGUCUCCAUCUAUUCGCAUCUCAAACCUUCUCAUUUUGACAGUGGACCCCUCCAAGAAGUCGGAGGCCAACCCCCUCACAGAGAUCCUCAAAUGCCCCACCAAAGUCGUGCUGCUACGGAACAUGGUGGGCAGAGGAGAGGUGGAUGAAGAUUUGGAAGGGGAGACCAAAGAAGAGUGUGAGAAAUACGGCAAGGUCAUCAAGUGUGUCAUCUUUGAGAUUGCUCAGGUGACAGACGAUGAAGCAGUGAGGAUAUUUCUGGAGUUUGAGAGAGUCGAGUCAGCCAUCAAAGCUGUGGUGGAUCUGAACGGGAGGUUCUUUGGUGGUCGGGUGGUAAAAGCCUGUUUCUAUAACCAGGAUAAGUUCAGAGUGUUGGACCUGGGAGAGCAGAUGUGAGACACACACGCGCAGUCCAUCCCACCUGAAUCGUUAAGACCCGCCUCAUUCAUACCCACAGGAACAGAAGAAAUGCUCUGACACACACACACAUUGAUAAUUACCAGUAGCUCUUCUGUCUCUAAGUAGCUAAACCAUUAUAUUCUCAACAGCAGCACAAUGUGUCUGUAUUUACUGAAGUGUUUCACCUGUAGUUUGUUUUGCCAGCAUAAAAAUCCUGUAUGUGAGGUAAUGAACUACUGUCUUGGUCUCUGUGUCCUGAUAUGAACAUGUACAAGUGAAACCUGAAAAUAAAUGUUCCUUUUGUUUAAAAUC